rnacentral:rRNA from 1 species
GUGCCCAGAUGGGAUUAGCUAGUAGGUGGGGUAACGGGCUCACCUAGGCGACGAUCCCUAGCUGGUCUGAGAGGAUGACCAGCCACACUGGAACUGAGACACGGUCCAGACUCCUACGGGAGGCAGCAUG